AACGAACGCUGGCGGCAGGCUUAACACAUGCAAGUCGAGCGCCCCGCAAGGGGAGCGGCAGACGGGUGAGUAACACGUGGGAAUCUACCCAACCCUACGAAAUAGCUCCGGGAAACUGGAAUUAAUACCGUAUACGCCCUUAGGGGGAAAGAUUUAUCGGGGAUGGAUGAGCCCGCGCUGGAUUAGCUAGUUGGUGGGGUAAAGGCCUACCAAGGCGACGAUCCAUAGCUGGUCUGAGAGGAUGAUCAGCCACAUUGGGACUGAGACACGGCCCAAACGCCUACGGAAGGCAGCAGUGGGGAAUAUUGGACAAUGGGCGCAAGCCUGAGCCAGCCAUGCCGCGUGAGUGAUGAAGGCCUUAGGGUUGUAAAGCUCUUUCACCGGAGAAGAUAAUGACGGUAUCCGGAGAAGAAGCCCCGGCUAACUCCGUGCCAGCAGCCGCGGUAA
rnacentral:rRNA from 1 species